GAUGAACGCUGGCGGCGUGCCUAAUACAUGCAAGUCGAGCGAACAGAUGAGAAGCUUGCUUCUCUGAUGUUAGCGGCGGACGGGUGAGUAACACGUGGGUAACCUACCUAUAAGACUGGGAUAACUCCGGGAAACCGGGGCUAAUACCGGAUAAUAUUUUGAACCGCAUGGUUCAAUAGCGAAAGACGGUUUCGGCUGUCACUUAUAGAUGGACCCGCGCCGUAUUAGCUAGUUGGUAAGGUAACGGCUUACCAAGGCGACGAUACGUAGCCCACCUGAGAGGGGGAUCGGCCACACUGGAACUGAGACACGGGCCAGACUCCUACGGGAGGCAGCAGUAGGGAAUCUUCCGCGAUGGGCGAAAGCCGGACGGAGCAACGCCGCGUGAGUGAUGAAGGUCUUCGGAUUGUAAAACUCUGUUGUUAGGGAAGAACAAAUUUGUUAGUAACGGAACAAGUCUUGACGGUACCUAACCAGAAAGCCACGGCUAACUACGUGCCAGCAGCCGCCGUAA
rnacentral:rRNA from 1 species